UACAGAGGUCUCAAGCGUUGUUCGGAUUCAUUGGGCGUAAAGGGUGCGUAGGUGGCGCCGUAAGUCAGGUGUGAAAUUUCGGAGCUUAACUCCGAAACUGCAUUUGAUACUGCGGUGCUUGAGGACUGGAGAGGAGACUGGAAUUCACGGUGUGGCAGUGAAAUGCGUAGAUAUCGUGAGGAAGACCAGUGGCGAAGGCGGGUCUCUGGACAGU
rnacentral:rRNA from 1 species